CUUUUGCCAUCCAUGACAGGGUCAUUGAACAGGCAAUCGCGAGUUGGACGACCAGCAUGCUUUGUUCUUAGAAUCAAGCCAUCUGGCAGAACAAGUUUUUUAAGAACACUGAAAUCAUGCAUCCCUGGUUUAAUUACCUGACAUAAACACCACCACCACUCAGAGCCCUCGCAGCUCCAUGAAAUUCUGCUGAUUCAUGCUUACUAUGAAACAUAUCCCAGUCAGGUAUGAAAAUUUCUCCCAAUAAAAGGCUAUUGAAUGCCACAGUAGCAAUGUGCAGGGUUUGCAUCGUUGGCUCCCGAGGCAUGAAAUCUUCUGAUGCUCUAGCAACUGCGCUCUUCAAUGAACUAAAAAUGCUGUCUGUAUUGUGACUCAUGCAGCAAAUUAGGUUGUUUCCUUUGAAGUUCCGAGCGAUAGAUUCCUCAAGUGCUUGUUGAUACUUCUGAG
rnacentral:sRNA from 1 species